rnacentral:rRNA from 1 species
GAUGAACGCUGGCGGCGUGCCUAAUACAUGCAAGUCGAGCGAAGCGGGGACGGGUGAGUAACACGUGGAUAACCUCCUAUAAGACUGGGAUAACUUCGGGAAACCGGUGCUUAACCGGAAUCUUUUAGAUGGUUCCGCUUGGCAUUUGCUAGUUGGUAAGGUAACGGCUUACCAAGGCAACGAUGCAUAGCCGACCUGAGAGGGUGAUCGGCCACACUGGAACUGAGACACGGGCCAGACUCCUACGGGAGGCAGCAGUAGGGAAUCUUGCGCAAUGGGCGAAAGCCUGACGGAGCAACGCCGCGUGUGUGAUGAAGGCCUUCGGAUCGUAAAACUCUGUUAGUAGGGAAGCGGUACCUAAUCAGAAAGCAACGGCUAACUACGUGCCAGCAGCCGCGGUAAUUC